rnacentral:rRNA from 1 species
UACGAGGGGGGCAAGCGUUGUUCGGAAUUACUGGGCGUAAAGCGUGCGCAGGCGGUUCGUUAAGUCUGCUGUGAAAGCCCCGGGCUCAACCUGGGAAUGGCAGUGGAAACUGGCGAGCUGGAGUGUGGCAGAGGGGGGUGGAAUUCCGCGUGUAGCAGUGAAAUGCGUAGAGAUGCGGAGGAACACCGAUGGCGAAGGCAGCCCCCUGGGCUGACACUGACGCUCAGGCACGAAAGCGUGGGGAGCGAACGGG